ensembl:rRNA 5S_rRNA 5S ribosomal RNA
GUCUAUGGCCAUACCACCCUGAACACGCUUGCUCUCAUCUGAUCUUGAAGGCUAAGCAGGGUUGGGCCUUUUUCAUACUUGGAUGGGAGACUCCUGAGAAUACCAGGUGCUGUUGUAGGCU